rnacentral:lncRNA from 1 species
UUCAUUUGAGGUUCAUCUUCGGGGUUCAUUUGUGACGAUUGUUAUUCAUUUAGGGUUCAUCUUUGGGGUUCACUUGUGGUGACUGGUCGUACAUAUCGGGAGUUUAUUCUGGAUAUUUGGUUACUUUGUUGGGGUUCGUUCUGAUAACCUUUUUCUUUGGUGUUCGUUGGUUAGCGUUUGUUAGUGUCGGGAGUCGGGUGUAAGUCCAUGUAUUGGCAUUCUGUUUCCUUUUGGGUGUUUCUUUUGACGUCUCAACGUCCCUUUUUGGUGGCUGGUUUCAGCGUGCGUUAGCCGAGCUACGAGUGCUCUAAUUCUCCUCUGGAUAGAGAAGAUACGUAGGCAUAGGAUGCGAUGUCUUAGCGAGCAUGUCCCCUUUUCCCGAACUACGUUGACU